UUUCUGUUGGUUUUCGGUACACGAGGAAGUUCGGAGGUGGUGAAAAUGGCUUUGCGUGUUUGUCCAGGUUUCCCACGUAACUUGCGGCCAAUGUUCCUUAAAUCCCUAGCUGUCAUAAUCUUAGAGGUCCCACAUUCGGAUCGUUUCUUCCUUGGCUCUCAUGUGGAUAAAUAAUUCAUUAUGUCAAUAAAUGUUAUAAUAUUAUUAUGGUUUUCUGCUAAAGUGUGUGCACA